rnacentral:rRNA from 1 species
UACGUAGGGUGCGAGCGUUGUCCGGAAUUAUUGGGCGUAAAGAGCUCGUAGGCGGUGUGUCGCGUCGGCCGUGAAAACCUGCAGCUUAACUGUGGGCUUGCGGUCGAUACGGGCAUCACUGGAGUUCGGCAGGGGAGACUGGAAUUCCUGGUGUAGCGGUGAAAUGCGCAGAUAUCAGGAGGAACACCGGUGGCGAAGGCGGGGCUCUGGGCCGAUACUGACGCUGAGGAGCGAAAGCGUGGGGAGCGAACAGG